AGAACCUGCCGGCUGAACCAGGCGCACGUUUGCCCCUCUAAUUGGGAGGUUCCAAACUUCACCACAGGGGGCGCUGCGUGGUCGGAGGUGCUUUGGCCUUGUUUGCGUUGGGGAAACGCACAGUGGUUACGGGCAUAAUGUAAAGUCAGUUCCGUGGGGGUCAUUGGCACGUCAUAGCCUGGUCCUGAGGGGCAGAGUCCAUGUCACUGAGGAAAGCAGAGGUUCUCGGCCAGCAGUAAUAACAUGCUCACCUGUGUGAGGCCCUACUCUUGGGGGUGUUCUUUCUUCUGUCUUCAAACCUCAAGAUCCAGUCUCCCAUCCUUCAAAACCUACUCUGGAAUCAAUCUCAGGAAAGGGCAUCUAAGCAGAUGUGGCUCCAGAUCUGGCAGGACAAUUGUUUUGCUGACAUUCGCUCUGGCGUCAGUUGGACCUGCUCAGCUCCAGGCAGAAUGGAAGACCACGGCAAGCGGAGAUGAUGGGCUUUUUCUGGGCAGAAGGGGUGGAGAGCCCCAGGCCUAGAUUUGCCCCAACUCAUCCGAUAAGUCACUUGCCUUGUCUGGGCCCCUCCAGACGUAGCUGGAGUGCAAGGCGGGUAUUGGGGGGCGGAGCCCAGGAAACAU